UCAUCUUUUAGGUAAAGUACCGUGGUCCCGCAAUUUCCAAAAAAAGCAUUCCCAUCAUGCAGAUGUUUUUUGCCACGGUAAGCUGGUUCAGCACGCAAACCUUCUCUUGGGCACGUGGGCGCGCUCCUUCUCAGCAUGCAGAUGGUUUUUUUCCUACGGUGAGCUGGUUACACGCAACUUAUUUUUUUUUUCUUCAAGGAACCCAUCUUUUUCCUUCUACUUAUCUCCAUUACAAGCAUCAAUCUCAUCAUAGAGAAGCAAUUACACAGAAGUUACCGUUAUUAAAGAGCUGAUAUCCAAAAGUUACUUUGUCUAGGUACAGAAAAGUCAAAACCUCACAAGAGUUACAACCAAGUGUAGCUAGCAUGUAUAUUUACAUGAACUAUUUUAGAUCCAACAAGAGUAGUAGCUCGUAUCCAAACAAAACAACCGUUCAGAUUUUCAAAAAAAUCAUGAAACUAACUCUAAAGAUAAAGAACUGCUCGUGGGGCCGCGGAACGAGCAGCCACGGAUCAUGGCGUUGUAGAGGGCGACGUCGUCUCGGGGGAAGGAGGAGAAGAGCAGGUAGGCGCACGCCAUGUCGCCGGCCUCGGCGGUGCGGCGGACGAGGAGCGUGGGCAGGCCCGACGGGAGGCGGUGGAGGGAGGAGGAGGUGAGGUGGAGGCCAUGGAUAUGGUCGAACCGCCGGCUGGUGCCACUCUUCUUGAGGAGCGCCGGGAGGCGGGAUUCCGGGAGUCCCAUGGCUGAUGAGAAC
rnacentral:lncRNA from 1 species